GAUUCGUGACGGUGAUAUUGUCGUGGUGGACAGAGGUUUCCGCGACGCUGGUCCGCUACUAGCCGGGUGGACAGAGGUUUCCGCGACGCUGGUCCGCUACUAGCCGGGUGGACAAAGGUUUCCGCGACGCUGGUCCGCUACUAGCCGGGUGGACAGAGGUUUCCGCGACGCUGGUCCGCUACUAGCCGAUUUGGGUUUCACCAUGCACAUGCCUUAAUUUAUGCCGAGGGGAUCCACCCAGCACACGACGGAAGAAUCAAAUAAUUCUCGUCUUGUUACCAAGCUUUUUAAGCGUCUACGGUCUUCCAAAGACGUUCAACCCGGUGACAACACCGGAUCCACAAUGACCAGACCGUACUGGGUGAAGGAAGCUUCACCCAACAAACACAGCGGCAACACUGACUGUCCCGGCAGAGGUACGUUCUAUUUAGGACCAACACUGCAUAGACACGUAGUGCCACGGGUAAACACAGAAUCUUCACGGACCAUCCCGGACUUUUACGACAAU